rnacentral:rRNA from 1 species
AUGGAAAUGGACUGCGUGGAGAUUGUUAAUCUCUGGCAACAUCGUCACAAUAGCUUAUCUGUUGUGGCACCGAUACUCUUAGAAAUUGGAGAGCUAGCUUCAUCUUUUGCUUCUUUUCAUGUUCAACAUGUUUGUAGAUCAGCCAAUGUACUGGCCCAUCUUUGUGCAAAACAUGCAUGCACACUGUUGGUUACCGAAAGUUGGACUGACUCUAGACCCUCUUUCCUGCUCACUAGCCUUCUGGCUGAUGAUCCCAGGAGUACUUUUGUUGAAUAA